GAGGUGGGCUACCACAGGGACCUGAGCCUCAUCACUGCCAUCCUCCUCCUGUAUCUGCCAGAGGAAGACGCUUUCUGGGUACUGACCCAGUUGCUGGCCGGUGAGAGGCACUCCCUGCAGGCUUGGGAGGCUCCUAUCGCACCAGGAGCAGGUGUUGCACAAGUCCUUCCUGAAGAUCAUGAGAUACCUGAAGCCACAGCGCUGCUGAGAUGAACACGCCAUAAGGAGCUACAAGACCUUGUCUGACUCAGUGUUAUGGGGGGGUCUCAUCCCAUAGAGAGGGGGUCCCCAGCACUCCAGGGGACUGAAACCCCAGUGGGCCCUGCUCAGGCCACCGGCCCCAACUUGGAAAAGCCAGGUCCUCCCACACCUGCUGUCCCCACAGAAGUCCUUCGGGCUCACCCUGAGACUGUGGGAUGUGUUUAUCUUGGAGGGUGAGUGGGUACUGACGGCCAUGGUGCAUACAUCAUUCAAAAUACACAGGAGUAAGUCCCGUGUGCCUGAGGGUGCCCGGGGGAACACGUGGGACAGACCCUAGCUGGCCUGAGGGAAGUGUGCUUACACUGCCUGCUCCAUCCAGAUGGGGGGUCUGGCCUGGUGGGUUGGGCAAGGCAUGAUGACACUAAGUCCACCCCCCACAUGACCCAGAUGAAAGUCAGGAGUGUGGUGAGCACUUCCUUGCCCGGCCUUCCCCGACUGGAGCCUCCUGUUCACAGCUGGACCCUGGGGUGGCCAAAAAGAAGCAAAGAAGCAGGCACCACCCAGUGGGAGGUGGGCCUGGUGCAAAUGGGGUGCAGGCACGACCUCUCCCAGGGAACCCUCCUGGCCUAAUGCCCACCCUGUCCCUAGAGCGCCUCAUGAAGCUUUCCUGGAGAACCGUCUGGGAGUUUCAGGAGCGACUCUCUCAGAGCUGGGCCCUGGAGGACAACGUGGUCCUCAGGAACCUUCAAACCUCCAUGAAGGAACUCACAAGGAAACACUGGGACCUGCCACCCUCAGCCGAGCAGGUGUCCUCGAGGGUGUUCCCUGGCAUUGAGACCCUCUGUGAAGGAGACAGACUGGCCGUCCCCACUCCACCAGCUCAGCUCCCGGAGCUCAUGCCAUCAGUCCCCCUGGGACAAAAGCCUUGUCCUCUCCCAGCCUGGCCCGAUGGGGCUGUCCCCAAGGCCCAGGCCCAGGCCCAUCAGCAUGAAGGGGCUUCCCCAGAGCCCAGAACAGAAGACUGCUCUCUGGGAGGCCAGAGGCUCGAGAUGAGGGCAGCCUGUCCCCUGGUGAGGUCAGGCUUUCUAUUACAUGGAAACACUUGUCCAGGAACACUAGGCCACAGCUCCACACAGACCCGCAUGUCGGGGGUCCAUGUUUCCUGCGCUGCCAUUUUGAACACGGCUCCUGGGACUCUGUCACUUCUCCAUCUUCUGUGGACAGCAGCCCUGGAACAAAAAGACGCACCCCGCCCAGCGAGCCCACUGGGACCCCAACACCAGGCCCUGCCGGGGUUUAUGACAGAGAGGAGGCACUUUGAAAGACACCAAGCAACAAGGUGUCCCCUGUCUGCAACUCCCCUCAGUAGAAGAACAACAUGGCAUGGAAGGAGCCCAGGUGGCACCCGCCUAGCUGCCUUGCAGCCCCAGAUGGCUGCUGGCUGUUUUUUACUGAUGUUUUAUUUUUAUUUUAUAUUUUUGGCUUCUGGGCCUUGGGAAAUACUCAAUGGUGAACUUGGUCCCAUCAAGGCCUCUGGAGGGAGCUGAGCAUGGGGUUCCUGCAGCCCCAGCCAGCCAGCAGCGUGCCCUGGGGCUCCUGACCCCAUCUGUGGGUCAUAGCCCCUCCUCCAGGGCCCAAGUCCCCGGCCCAGAGGGACCUGGCUUCAUCCUGAGUACUAGGAGGAGAGGGGCACCAUAGGCCCCCAGGUGACCACACAGGGGACCAGGGCACAGCGAGCGUUGGGUGCUGCGAGAAUUCACAUCAGACAACCUGGACAAGCAGGGCCAGAGAUGCUGAGCCCGUACAGUGAUGAUAUGGGCGGCUGGCACAAGGGGUUAACAGCUGUGAACACUGACGCCUCUUCCCAACUCCAUCACUGCACUGCAGGCAGUCUGCACCCCAAAGCCUGGCCCAACAACGCCCCAACAUGCCACCUGGAGGCUUUGAGGCCCUGCCUACCACACCACCCUCCUUCUGGAAGCCUCGUCCUGCAGCCUAGCCGCUGCUGCAGCCAUAGCAGCUAUCACUGCCAAGCACCUUCCAGACGGGCUUCCCAGAAGGCGGAGGAGCCUCAGCAGCUCAGACUGUGAAGGUGGUUUCAUCCACAUUUCCAUUGUUCCACCAAAGAGAAUCCCUGCAGAGGAUGCUCUUGAUAAAAGGUGGGCAAAAUGGCACACCAGGUAGAUGCAGUCAGCUUCUUUUCUGGCCACCACAUUAGGUUGGGGACAAAGUGACCAUCAGACAGGCAUGGGACACAAGAGGCUCAGCAUGCUGCAUGUGCCCUGACCAAGGCUGACCAGGCCGACACCACUGCCGAGCAUCCCAUCUGCUGAUGAGAGACUUGGUGUCAAUCCCUGGGCUGACCCUGUUUCCCAGGAGGACCGGUUGACCACCUGUGGGCGCACUGCCCACACUGUGGAGGGAGCUGAGAUUGGCCUUCACUGCAGGGAGCCCCUACCUGGAUAUAGACUUGCUCAUCCUUCCUGUCACCAUCAUGGCAGCCCACAUGGCAUUGCUUUUGACCAGGUCAUUUCAUUCACAGCGAGGGACAUGCAGCAGUGGCCCCUGACCAGGGAACUAACUGUUCUCACUACGUCAGCCACCACCUGGAAGCAACUGGGUUUGGCUUAGGAUCACUUAGUUGCGAUCGUAACUGGAGUUGCUGAAGUGAUAGUUUGUUUUACAAGAUAAAUGUUAUGCUUUCUACUGGAAACCAGUGUACAGUGCUGACUCCCUGACAGCCAGAAGGUGUAGUUCUGAAAGUGAAAGUGUGAAAGUGGACGAUGUUCAGUAUUGCACCAAAUGUCUUAGUCACAGUUUUCCUAUGCCUGUCCUGGAGAAAUGGAGCUUUGCUGGUUGGAAGGUCUGAGGACCCAGGCAGAGUGAAGCUUCCCCCAGGGGAAGACAACAUUGGUUCUAUUUAAUAUGAAGAGACAGAACUAAGUCUGAAACCCUGGAGCACUCUCUGGUGUUCUUGGUGUUUCCGUGUGAAGAAAGUCAAAUAGGCUGGGCUUGGUAGCUCAUGCCUGUAAUCUCAGCACUUUGGGAGGCUGAGGCAGGAGGAUCAAGGAUCUGGUCAGGAGAUCCAGACAAUCCUGGCUAACACAGUGAAAUCCCGUCUUAACUAAAAAUACAAAAAACUGGCCAGGCGUGGUGGCAGGCACCUGUAGUCCCAGUUACUCGGGAGGCUGAGGCAGGAGAAUGGUGUGAACCCAGGAGGCGGGGCUUGCAGUGAGCCGAGAUCACACCACUGCACUCCAGUCUGGGUGUCAGAGGGAGCUCUGUCAAAUAAAAGUAAAGUCAAAUAACAAAGGUUUGCCACAGAGGCAUCUGAAAAAGGAGGGGGCAGAACUUCAGAACUUAGAGGCUUCAAAAUCAAAGAUGAAGCCAAGCAGGAGACUCCUGGCCCACUGAGGGCAGGGGAAGUAUGUGGGGGCUGCUAGGAGAAGACGUCAUAGAGGUCCACCCCCACCUUGUGGUAUGUCACAGAACCAUGCACUUGAAUAACUGUGCACAUCUUCUCUCCACUGAUUAUAGUAUUUCUUUCCAUUUGUGAUUCUCCAAUCACGCAGGGAGCUUGCUACAAAAUGCACAUUGCUAUACUAUAGCCUGGGGCUUGCAAUCCAAGGCUGGCAAGGAUUCCUGCACAUCAAGGGCCCCAGGUUACUUUCUUUUUUUUUUUUUUUUUUUUUGAGCCGGAGUCUCUCUCUGUCAUCCAGGCUGGAGUGCAGUGACACGAUCUUGGCUCACUGCCAGCUCCGCCUCCCAGGUUCAUGCCAUUCUCCUGCCUUAGCCUCCCCAGCAACUGGAACUACAGGCGCCCGCCACCAUGCCUGGCUAAUUUUUUUUUUUUUUGAUUUUUGGUAGAAACGAGGUUUCACCAUGUUAUCCAGGAUGGUCUCAAUCUCCUGACCUUGUGAUCCACCCGCCUUGGCCUCCCAAAGUGCUGGGAUUACAGGGGUGAGCCACCGUGCCCGGCCACCUCAAGUGACUUUCAUGCACACCCAAGUCAGAAGGCUGUCCUGAAUCCUGAAUGUCACCUUCUUGCCCAAAAAAGGAACGAGGGUCAACCAGCAGCAGACCAGUCACAAAAAGGGAUGAAAUGUGAGUGCGUGGCCUUCCUGACACCCAGACAAGACUUUAGGCACAAAGCCAGGCUGCAGCUCUGGCCACUGACUCCAACCAGGGACGCCCCCAUGCAGGCUGGUGUGCCCUGGCUGCUCUUCUCCCUCCUGCCACCCUCUCCUGGGCUGUCUGUGUUAGGAAGGGACAACCUGCCAGUUUUCAGAAGAACAUGUAGCUUUAUUAUGACAUAGGAAAGACUCAAGUUAUUAGGGGAGAAGGAGGAGUCCUGAAACAGCUGCUGAAAUUGAGAGAAAAGGAAGGUGUAAAUAUGUUGGUAAUAAAGUCUCCAACCACAGCACAGUCAUGGGAAUGUUUUUGUUACAAUUUUUGUUUUCAAAGUUAUAGUAAAAAAACAGUCUCUUGAAUUGUCAAAAGAACGGUGGUUUCACACAAUGAAAAGCAUACACAUCAAGCCAAAGUAAAUCACACUUGGGUCUAUAUGUUGCAGUGGUGCUGGUGCAGGAGGGAACAUCCAGGGAGGUUCCAGUGCCUGCCAGGGAGCCCAGGUCCACGGAGGGCCCCGGGGCUGGAGGGAGGUCACGUACCACUCAGCUCAAAGCGCUCCCUUCAGGCACCUGAAGAGGGAAAGCCCAUGUGUCUUCCUGUGAAGCACUGAACGGGCAGCCAGCAUCUCAGAAACGCAGGCGAUUUUUC
rnacentral:lncRNA from 1 species